rnacentral:rRNA from 1 species
UACAGAGGGGGCAAGCGUUGUUCGGAAUUACUGGGCGUAAAGGGCGCGUAGGCGGCCCGCUAAGUCGAACGUGAAAUCCCCGAGCUCAACUCGGGAACUGCGUCCGAUACUGGCGGGCUUGAAUCCGGGAGAGGGAUGCGGAAUUCCAGGUGUAGCGGUGAAAUGCGUAGAUAUCUGGAGGAACACCGGUGGCGAAGGCGGCAUCCUGGACCGGCAUUGACGCUGAGGCGCGAAAGCUAGGGGAGUAAACGGG